GUUCCUAUAGUUAAGAGUUGUUUUAACAGCGGCUUUUCAGGCCGCAGACCUUGGAGAGAGGCCAAGUGGGAAUA
rnacentral:tRNA from 1 species